CAGGCUUAACACAUGCAAGUCGAGGGGCAGCAUGGUCUUAGCUUGCUAAGGCCGAUGGCGACCGGCGCACGGGUGAGUAACACGUAUCCAACCUGCCGUCUACUCUUGGACAGCCUUCUGAAAGGAAGAUUAAUACAAGAUGGCAUCAUGAGUCCACAUGUUCACAUGAUUAAAGGUAUUCCGGUAGACGAUGGGGAUGCGUUCCAUUAGAUAGUAGGCGGGGUAACGGCCCACCUAGUCUUCGAUGGAUAGGGGUUCUGAGAGGAAGGUCCCCCACAUUGGAACUGAGACACGGUCCAAACUCCUACGGGAGGCAGCAGUGAGGAAUAUUGGUCAAUGGGCGCAGGCCUGAACCAGCCAAGUAGCGUGAAGGAUGACUGCCCUAUGGGUUGUAAACUUCUUUUAUAAAGGAAUAAAGUCGGGUAUGCAUACCCGUUUGCAUGUACUUUAUGAAUAAGGAUCGGCUAACUCCGUGCCAGCAGCCGCGGUAAUACGGAGGAUCCGAGCGUUAUCCGGAUUUAUUGGGUUUAAAGGGAGCGUAGAUGGAUGUUUAAGUCAGUUGUGAAAGUUUGCGGCUCAACCGUAAAAUUGCAGUUGAUACUGGAUAUCUUGAGUGCAGUUGAGGCAGGCGGAAUUCGUGGUGUAGCGGUGAAAUGCUUAGAUAUCACGAAGAACUCCGAUUGCGAAGGCAGCCUGCUAAGCUGCAACUGACAUUGAGGCUCGAAAGUGUGGGUAUCAAACAGGAUUAGAUACCCUGGUAGUCCACACGGUAAACGAUGGAUACUCGCUGUUUGCGAUAUACAGCAAGCGGCCAAGCGAAAGCGUUAAGUAUUCCACCUGGGGAGUACGCCGGCAACGGUGAAACUCAAAGGAAUUGACGGGGGCCCGCACAAGCGGAGGAACAUGUGGUUUAAUUCGAUGAUACGCGAGGAACCUUACCCGGGCUUAAAUUGCAGAUGAAUUACGGUGAAAGCCGUAAGCCGCAAGGCAUCUGUGAAGGUGCUGCAUGGUUGUCGUCAGCUCGUGCCGUGAGGUGUCGGCUUAAGUGCCAUAACGAGCGCAACCCUUGUUGUCAGUUACUAACAGGUUCCGCUGAGGACUCUGACAAGACUGCCAUCGUAAGAUGUGAGGAAGGUGGGGAUGACGUCAAAUCAGCACGGCCCUUACGUCCGGGGCUACACACGUGUUACAAUGGGGGGUACAGAGGGCCGCUACCACGCGAGUGGAUGCCAAUCCCAAAAACCUCUCUCAGUUCGGACUGGAGUCUGCAACUCGACUCCACGAAGCUGGAUUCGCUAGUAAUCGCGCAUCAGCCACGGCGCGGUGAAUACGUUCCCGGGCCUUGUACACACCGCCCGUCAAGCCAUGGGAGCCGGGGGGUACCUGAAGUGCGUAACCGCGAGGAGCGCCCUAGGGUAAAACUGGUGACUGGGGC
rnacentral:rRNA from 1 species